CCUUCGUCAAGGAAUAGCUAAUGUCCUUAGCCCUGCGUUGCGACAAAAACACAGCCAGAAAGAGAAGACUAAUGAAGACGCAAGUCCUUGUGCUUCGUGCCAUGUGUGCUUAACCCGCUGCGCUACCGCCUGGGCUUCUGAUUAAGUCUUUUGAACUAAGUCACGAUUCCUGGAGUCCUCCCUCCUUUCUGCAAGUAAGACGUCAACAACCACCCGCAGACAGGAGCUGAAAACUGCUGGGCCAGUGAGUGUCGACACCUGGUGGUAGCAAAAUAAUUAGGCCAGUCCAGUAGUUUUGCUGUGAAGAUCCCAUGUACAGAGACCAGCUCCUUUUUGUCAUGUUGUGAGUUGCUGGAAGAAAGAAGCAGAGAAAAGCGACAUAGUCUGGCCUUCGCUUAUGCAGGAGCACACUACGCCUCAGGAUAAAAGAAAUUGUGUGUGUGUGUGUGUGUGUGUGUGUGUGUCCUCCAAAUCUACUUUGGACGUGGGUCCCUGCUGUCUCUGACUGCCAGUGGGAGCUAUUCCUCUCUCUCUCUCUCUCUCUCCCUCCCUCCCUCCCUCCAGGAUUAACGCUGGGGUUUGGUGCCUGCACUACAAAUCCACUGCCAUUUUAUUGGACAGGACAGAGUGAAAUCGAGAGAGGAAGGGAAGACAGAGAGAGGGGGAGAAAGACAGACACCUGCAGACCUGCUUCACCGCUUGUGAAGCGAUGCCCCCCCCUGCAGGUGGGGAGCUAGAGGCUCAAACCCAGGUCCUUGUGUGGGUCUUUGCACUUAGUAUUGUAGGUGCUUAACUGGGUGCACCACUGCCUGGUCCAAGCUGCUCAGCUCUCAACCAGCUAUUUGUAGGGAGAUACUUCCUUUCAUAUUCAGUAGUUUUUGGGAGAGGAAUUCUUGUGCUCUGCUUGGCACAGCACUUAACUUCCCCGUAGUCUAUUCUCUCUGGACGCAGAUGUACUUAAGGUCUAGGGUCGCUGGGUAGAGGCGCCGUCAAGACCAAACUGAUUGCCGUUGUCACUUAGGUUUCGUGCUGACUCUGCUUCCCUCAUCAUUUAUAGGGCACCUACUUUUCCUCCCAGUGUCUUGGCCAGCCUGGCUCUAUACCCGAGCCCGAACUAUAAAUUGCAGUAAAACUGUUCCACAUAGCUCCUCACUUCACACAUCAAGCCAAGAAUGUGAUUAGGCCAGUGCUAUGCCUUCCACAUCAAUUCAAUGACAAAGGAGGUCUUUCUUUCUUUCUUUCUUUCUUUCUUUCUUUCUUUCUUU